ensembl:lncRNA
AACAUAUUUUUAUACCAUAUUUUUAUACCAUAGUUUACUAAUUUUUAUUUUAAUUUUUUUUUUUGUAAGUCAUAAAAUAUAAAUGGAUAUAAAACUGUUACAUAUAUAUAUAUAUAUAUAUAUAUAAAAGAAAAAUGCAAGUUUAUUCACUCUACAUGUAAACAUAUAUACAGAGAUAUAUACAUAUAUUAAUGUCACCUACUUAAAAAAAAAAAAAAAAAACAAUGCUCUAUUCUCAUUUUGACCCAACGCUGUUUUUAUUUAUUUUUUAUUUUUUUAUUUUUUUUUAAAUUAGCUAACAGAAAAGAUAGAAAAAAACAUGAUUAUACAAGUAAUGAAAUGAGAAGUAGGAAGAACAUAUGUUCGGCAACAUUUAAUCCUGAUUAUACAAAAAAAAAAAAAAUAAAGUAAAAUAUUAACAUAUACAUAUAUGUAUACAUUUUUUGUACUUGUCCCAUGCCUUAUCGCUAAUUUUUUAAUAAAGUAAAAGUUUAUUUGUCAAUUUUUUUUUUUCGCUUUGUUACCGAAAAUGGGUAAAUAAAAGGGACUAUUAAAGAGGAGAGUUAACAUAUAUUAUAUUAACAUAUAUAUUAAUAAUAUAUGUAUGUAUAUAUAUGCAUAUAUUCCCCUAAAUUGUAACUCUGUUGUUGAUCAUAAAAACGAAAGUAGCAAGAUUUUAGAAUGUAUAGAACUAAAUGAUCAUAAUUAUAACACUUUAAUAAAAAAAGAAAAGUGCUAUUUAAUUUACGGAUAUGCUGAUUAUUCAUAUAGAAGUUUAUCAAUAUAUACAAAAUUACUUUCUAUCGAUUUUCCAAAAAAAAUAAUUAAUAAAGGUGCAGAUGAUUAUAAAAAAAUACCAUUAUAUAAAGUCAAUAUAAAUAAUAAUAAUUUAUUAGUUCAAAACUUUCAUAUCAAAUCUAUUCCUUUAAUACAAUUAAGAUAUAAAAAUAAAUUAGUGGAUGAGUUAUCAGGAGAUGAGUUAAAUAAUGAAAAAAAUAUAAAAAAUAUAUUAAAAAGAUGUUAUAACAAUUAUUUCCAUUCGUUGCAAAUUGUUGAUAAUAUAAAUGACUUUCUAAAUAGAGAACAUGAACUUUUAAACGAUCAAGAUAUACAAAAUGUUGAAAAAAGGGACAUUGCUUUGAGGGAAAAUGAGGUUCUAUUUGAUACACUUAUAAAUAGGAACGACAGUGACAGCAAAAAUAUUUACGAUAAUAAAACCGAUAUAAAUCAAAACUUUGUUCAGAACGAACUACUAAACAAACUCGAACUAAAAUACCAAUGUUCCACUUAUGUUACUUUUAAAAAACUAGAAAUGUUAUUAAACGAAGAAAAAGAAAGAAAAAAAAAAUUAUACAUGUUGAAUGACAAUAACGAUACAUUACAAACACAUCACAGUAGUCAUGAUAAUGUAAAUCAAACAGACUCAUGCGAUAAAAAUAAAAACACAAUCUUAAUAAAAUCCUUUUUAAAUGAAAUAAUUAAUAACAAUAAAACAUACUUAGAUAUAAACCAUCAUUAUAAUAAAAUAACAGCACAAGCUUUUCUUUUUUUAUUUGACCAAGAAGAACUAUCAUCAAUCGAAAAAGUAUUAACUCUUAUAAAUUUUGUAAAAAAUUAUAAUGAAAAUUGGAUAAAUACAGAAAAUAUUAAAUUUAUACAUUUUAAUGAACCUAUUAUUGUAUUUGAUGAUUUUAAAAAUAUACAUUUGAAAGGAUUUAAUAAUAUUGAUCAGUUUUUAUCACAAAAAGAGACAGUAGAUGAAGCUGGUUGUCAAGACUCACUACCACACACAAUUACACAAGAACAUUCAACAGAAAUUACAAAUUCAGACAAUAAUAACACAAUCUCAAACACACAAAUAAAAUAUUUAAGUAGAUUAUAUAGAAUAUUAUCAGUAAAGUAUUUAUUUAUUGAAGAUUAUCCAAAAUCAUUGCAUUAUGCAUUGUUGUCAUAUAAGGACACAUUUUUUUUGAAUAAUAUAGAUAGUAAAAAAUCGAAAGUGUUAAUUGAAAAUAUGAUUCUGUACUUAGGUGCAUAUAACAAAUACGUAAUCAAAUUUAUCAGUCAAUUACAAUUAUUAUUUAAUAAUAAAAUUUUUAAAAAAAUUCAAUUACCUCAUAAUAGAACUGUUAAAGGAGGAAGACCAAUGAUAAAGAGAGGAAAGUCAGGGAAAUGGUUAUGGUUAAGUCCGGAUUGGAAACCAAAAUGGUUAAAGAAGAAAACGAAGCUAACUUUAGAGGAUGAGUGGAGGUGUGUUCCUGACAAAAAUGUCCCUUUUUGGAAUUAAAAUAAAAAAAUAAGAAAAUAAAAACA